CCUACGGGGGGCUGCAGUCGAGAAUUUUUCACAAUGGGGGAAACCCUGAUGGAGCGACGCCGCGUGGGGGAUGAAGGGCUUCGGCUCGUAAACCCCUGUCAUUCGCGAAUAAUUGCUGUGGCCUAACACGUCACGGUUUGAUAGUAGCGGAAGAGGAAGGGACGGCUAACUCUGUGCCAGCAGCCGCGGUAAUACAGAGGUCCCAAGCGUUGUUCGGAUUUACUGGGCGUAAAGGGUGCGUAGGCGGCAGGGAAAGUUCGGGGUGAAAUCUCCAGGCUCAACUUGGAAACUGCCCUGAAUACUUCCUUGCUCGAGGGCCGAAGAGGAGAUUGGAAUUCUCGGUGUAGCAGUGAAAUGCGUAGAUAUCGAGAGGAACAUCAGUGGCGAAAGCGAAUCUCUGGUCGGCAUCUGACGCUGAGGCACGAAAGCCAGGGGAGCAAACGGGAUUAGAUACCCGAGUAGUC
rnacentral:rRNA from 1 species